AUGAAAUCACCACUGUCUUUAGCCAGGGGUCCCAGAGGCUGCUCUCCAGGCGGAGGCGCUAGGCUGGGCUCUCCUGCAGCGGGCCCCCCACGCCAGCCCUGCAGACCUGCAGACCCUUGGGAAGGGCCAUGUCCUCCUCCACGCCACCUGUGUCCUCCACGAGUUCCUCGUAGGUACUCCCUAGUCAUUGUUAAAAAUGGAAAAAAAAAGACUUUCAUGUUUCAUUUGGAUAAUACUGAUAAUUUGUUUAAUCA
rnacentral:lncRNA from 1 species